rnacentral:rRNA from 1 species
AGUGAACGCUGGCGGUAGGCCUAACACAUGCAAGUCGAACGGCAGCACAGUAAGAGCUUGCUCUUACGGGUGGCGAGUGGCGGACGGGUGAGGAAUACAUCGGAAUCUACUUUUUCGUGGGGGAUAACGUAGGGAAACUUACGCUAAUACCACAUACGACCUACGGGUGAAAGCAGGGGAUCUUCGGACCUUGCGCGAUUGAAUGAGCCGAUGUCGGAUUAGCUAGUUGGCGGGGUAAAGGCCCACAAAGGCGACGAUCCGUAGCUGGUCUGAGAGGAUGAUAAGCCACACUGGAACGGAGACACGGUCCAGACUCCUACGGGAGGCAGCAGUGGGGAAUAUUGGGCAAUGGGCGCAAGCCUGAUCCAGCCAUACCGCGUGGGUGAAGAAGGCCUUCGGGUUGUAAAGCCCUUUUGUUGGGAAAGAAAAGCAGCAGGUUAAUACCCCGCUGUUCUGACGGUACCCAAAGAAUAAGCACCGGCUAACUUCGUG